rnacentral:sRNA from 1 species
ACAAAGAUUUAUAAUGUACAAACUCAAUAUAUAAUUGUGUAUACCGCUUUAACAAUAAAACAUAAUCUAUUAUAUUUACAUGUCCACAUGUACGUACACCGUAAAUUACAUAUACGUACACAUAAGAAAUUUAUUGAAGGGUAUAAUUAUAAUUUUGCAUUCGUCUUCAACCUCUGCAACCCUAAUUUUGCACUCUUCUUCAACCUCUGCAAUUUUAAUUUUGCACUCUUCUUCAACCUCUUACCCUUACCCAUAAUUGUCGUCGCCGACGAUGAUACAUUAACUUCCGAAACUCCUCGCCGCCGACUACUCUUCUUCAUCUCUGCCAUUUUAGUAUGAUAACCAGAAAAUCCUCUUUUUGUUAGACACUUUAAAACGAACUCGAUCGAAAUUUUCUCCACUCAAGCAAAGACUCGAACUCGAACAGAGCCUCAAUCGGAAUUGGGUUUAAGUUUUGUCGGAAUUUUUAUGCGUCUUCGAAUACGGAGUUCGUCGAAACUGUUCUGCGUUUCUCGAAGACAGUUUUUGAUUUUAUUUUAAGUUUUAAAAUUAUUUACAUUUUUAUUUAUUUAAUUUUAAAGAUUUAAAAUUAUUUCCGUAACCAGAAUACAAAGGAACGAAACUGAACAGUUUUCUUUCAUUUCUCGUUCCAGGGCAGAUUCGUCCAAUUAAGCCCAAGUGGCUAAAAGCUGGUUGGCUCAAUCCACUUUACCUCUUCGUGAAAAAAAAACUGAGAAAAGUGUUAACGGUGAAAUUUUCUUUAGUAAAUAUUUAUAGAUAUGACCUUUAACUUAUUAUAUAGAAAAUAAAAGUUGACAUUAUAUGUCUCUUGUUUGAGAACAGUUUCUGUAUCUCUCUCAU